CAAGAAUUAGUUUAUUAAAACAUUAAUCUUGGAUAUUAAAAAUAAAGUUAAUUUAUUCUUGA
rnacentral:tRNA from 1 species